rnacentral:rRNA from 1 species
AUUGAACGCUGGCGGCAGGCCUAACACAUGCAAGUCGAACGGUAACAGGAAGAAGCUUGCUUCUUUGCUGACGAGUGGCGGACGGGUGAGUAAUGUCUGGGAAACUGCCUGAUGGAGGGGGAUAACUACUGGAAACGGUAGCUAAUACCGCAUAACGUCGCAAGACCAAAGAGGGGGACCUUCGGGCCUCUUGCCAUCGGAUGUGCCCAGAUGGGAUUAGCUAGUAGGUGGGGUAACGGCUCACCUAGGCGACGAUCCCUAGCUGGUCUGAGAGGAUGACCAGCCACACUGGAACUGAGACACGGUCCAGACUCCUACGGGAGGCAGCAGUGGGGAAUAUUGCACAAUGGGCGCAAGCCUGAUGCAGCCAUGCCGCGUGUAUGAAGAAGGCCUCCGGGUUGUAAAGUACUUUCAGCGGGGAGGAAGGGAGUAAAGUUAAUACCUUUGCUCAUUGACGUUACCCGCAGAAGAAGCACCGGCUAACUCCGUG